GACCCAGGUCACAGCACCAGAGCUUGGGGGGAAAAAGUGGACAAUGACAGCCUACCACAGCAACAGGAAACACCUGAGGACUUCUUACCUCAUCACUGCUCCAUCUAUUGGGGAAUGAGGGACGGAGCUUCUUGAUGCAUACAAUCUCCCGCAUGUCCUCGUAGGAGGGGUCAGUGGGCACAAGAUCAUGGUGGCCCAUUUGAUAACGCAGAACAGGACUGAAACUGUUCAGCUCCAGUCUGAAUGCAUGUGAAAACAGGGGCAUUCUAAAACUUCAGCAGAGGGAGCCCAGACCCACUUCCUGAGCUCUGAGACUGUUCAAUCAAGUCUUUCAGGGAUUCCCCUGGAGGAAUUUCAUAAGCCAUGGGGGAAAAAGUGAUGUUGGGAAGAAAUGUGAAGCAGACAAAGUUUAAAUACUUCCGACUUACCUGAAGUAACAGAAUAUGAUGAUAAGUACCAGGAGUAUACUGCAAACGGUCACUGAGAUCAGCAAGGCCUUAUGGUGAAUGUUUCCUUCAACAAAAUCUGGUUCAAAGAUAAAAAAAAACUUUGUACAAUGGCUGUAUUUUUGUCUUAGAAGUCAACACUACUCUCUCACACCUGAAAUGUCUUUCACGUUAGGUUGAGUGUAAAAUACAUUCUGCCUUCCUGGAUUUAGUUUCACAUGUAAAAAGACAUACAAGAAUUUAUAAAUAUAUUAAGCAACAGAAUUGUUCCCUUUCUUUUCUACUGAAACAUUGUGUAAUGUAUCACUUGAUUUCAGAGCCAUUUUACGUGCUCCUUCUUUAGCCCUCAUCGAACAGGGCAAACGUAGCACAUGGAACAGCAAUCGAGGGCCUGACUGAUCCUGCAGC